rnacentral:lncRNA from 1 species
CCCGCAGCUGCGUCCUGCUGAGGUGGAGCACGGGCACCAGGAGCUCUGCAGUCUGUGUGAGGAGCUCUCGGGGAAGGGUUCCGAGAUCGGUGCCGACAAGCUCAAGCAGGUUCUGGAUGGGGUGUUUUCCAGACGAACAGACAUAAAGUUCGAUGGUUUCAGCAUCCACACUUGCCGGGAAGUGAUCAGCUUGCUGGACGUAUCCUUUGAGCAGCUCAGCCUCUCUCUUUCACCUUUUCCCGCAGGAAGGGAGGGCGGGCAGAUGGGAAAUGAGAUGGGAACUGUCUUAGCUGCUUUGCUUGUGGCUGAGACAAAACACUAGGCACCCAAAGUCAGAGGAGGGAAGGUUUACUUAGCUCACAGUUCGCAGAGGUUCAGUCUAUAUUCAGUGGCUCCAAGGCGGGGUGGCAGGGCAGAGGGCUCUCGCAGAGGAGAAACAGUGCAAGCUUGUUAAUCUGCAUGCGCCUUUCCCACCUUCCCCAAGGCUACCCAGAGGCUCUGAGGCCUCAAGGCUGCCAAGCUCAUAGGAGGGCGCCACAGCAUGGGUGGGGCUUGUCGUGUUGGCCUUUAACAAGCCCAGAGCUCUGGCACCGGUACCCUGGGACCCACUGAGCUCAGAGCGCUCUGCCUGAAGGUCCGGAAGUACCUGGUAAUUCUCCUCUCCCCAGCUCCCUGGCCCUGCCUGUCCCUCAUUCCCAACCCGCUGUGACACUCGUGCCUGGGCCUGGUCUGACCAGACAUCAAUCUGGGCCGUAGGAGAUCUACCAGGAGAUGGAUCCCAGCCACCUGGGGACCGUGGAUGCCCACGAGAUGAGGACAGCCCUCAGGAGGGCGGGUGAGAACCGGCUGGCCCUCAGCACCCCGACACUUCCGUUCUCAGGUCGUUGUCCCCGGAGGGCGGUGCAGGGACAUCGUUGGGAGUGUUGGGGUCAAGGUGCCCACGUGCCUGGCCUGGGGCUCCUCUCUGCAGAGCCUGUCAUGGGAGGUGGCAGGCGGGGCUCUGGAGUGGUGGCAGGGCUGGCGGACAGGCAGCUGCGGCGCCUGCUUCCAAGGCUGGGCUAGGCCUGGGGCGAGGCUGGUGGGCCUGUGUGAGGCAGUGCACGGGACCCCCGAGGCGCGGCCCUGUGAGCAGCUCUCGCCCCAGGGUUCAGCGUCAGCACCCAGGUGCAGCACACCAUCGCCACUCGCUACGCCGGCCGCACGCUCUGCCUCGACUUCGACGGCUUCGUGGCCUGCAUGGUCCGGCUGGAGAGCCUCUUCCAACUGUUCCGGGUCUUGGACCGGAACCGGACGGGUGUCAUCCAGCUCUCCCUGGCUGAGUGGCUGGGCUGUGUGCUGGUCUGAGCGGCGUAUUCUCCCGCCCUCCGCCCUCCCUCCUGGGUUCUCUGGAUGCUCAGCCUCGGGGCCUUUGCUGGCUUCUCCAGUGGCUCUGCCAAGUCACUGCGCCCUGGGGCGCUGGCCUGGCUGCAGCCUUGCUGGGUGCAGCCCGAGGGGAGGACAGGCAAUUAAAGCUGUGGCUGGAGCAGUCUCGCCUCUCUCUGGGGACACGAAACACGGGCCUCACGCACUAGGAGCACGAUGCUCUUGGGAAACACGACAGGAGCCCCCAAGAUGGAAAACGGGGAUUGAUUUCCGAAGGAGGAGGCCUGCUCCCCUCAGGGCUGCUGUGGGAAAGGGGAGCACCUGCUCCAUCUAGUUUGCCCAACCCCCUCAUUCUUUAGAGUGCCCUGACUUCAGAGCACUCAGG